rnacentral:pre_miRNA from 11 species
UGUAAACAUCCUUGACUGGAAGCUGUGGUUUUGGACGUCAAGGGCUUUCAGUCGGAUGUUUGCA